AAGACAAAGCAAGAGAUAGAGCAGCACUCAUCUCCGGCUCCUCUUCCGGAUCUAUAAGAGAUCCCCCGAACCUGAGACGGCUGGCUGCCUCGGCAGCGGCUGGCCCAGAUCCGCGAGGCUCUGAAACCAGACUCGCUUCGGCUCGCUGAAGAUAAUAAGGCUGGCAGCGUGGUUCACAGUCUGUGAGUCAGGGUGGAGAUCAGGAACUGGAGAAUCUCGUCACUAAACUGGCCAUCCUCAAGGACCUACUGUCCUCCAUAGAGAAGAAGGCUCUGAAGGCUCUCCAGGAUAUGAGUGUGUCCUCUCCCCUCACCCCCCUGACACGCCACAGCAAGGCCAUUCCUGUCCAGGCCUUCGAGGUGAAGCCGGACAUGUACCUGGCUGAACUGGCUAAAAUAGGGAAGAGUCAGAAAAACACACUCAGCGUGGACGUGGAGGCGGGAAAACUGGUGGUGAUGAAGAAAGUGAAGGACACACAGGAGGACUGGACCACUUUCACCCAUGACAAGAGUGAGACGGGGAGAGUGAGAUGGGUGGGGGUGAGAGAGAGAUAAAGGGAGAGAGAGAGAGGGACUGAUGAAGAGCAAGAGAGAGAUAUGGAGAAAGAGAGGGACUGAGGGAGAGAGAGAGACUGAUGUGGAGGGAGAGAGAGAGAGACUGAUGGGGAGAGAGAGAGGGACUGAUGGGGAGAGAGAAUGGGACUGAUGGAGAGAGAGAGAGGAAGAGAGGGAGAGGUGGAGAGAGAGGGACUGACGAAGUUAGAGAGAGAGGGACUGAUGGAGAGAGAUAGAGAGGGACUGAUGGAGAGAGAGAGAGAUGAAGAGAGGGAGAGUAGUCAUAGUCACGUUCCAUGUUUAGAGUUAGUUCACGCUGGGUUAUCCGCUCUCAGUUCCUCGUCAUAGUUCAUGUUUCUCGUUUUGUUUAUCGACCCGGUUUUCCGUGACCACGACCUUGAUUCAUGUUUAACCCUGUGUAUGCCUGUUUGCCGAUCGCCUGACCUUCGCCUGUUUUGGAUUAUGUUUAUGAAUCACGUUUUGGAUUUGUCUGCCUGUCUCUCUUUUAAAAUAAACAUCUGUUCAUACUGCA